rnacentral:rRNA from 1 species
CUUAAUUAGAGUUUGAUCCUAGCUCAGGGUGAAUGCUGGCGGCGUGGAUAAGUCAUGCAAGUCGAGCGAUGGAGGUCGGAGAACAGAGAACAGAAGUCAGACAGAAAGAGUACAAUGCACAAUAUCGCUGAAGAUAGCAAUAAGUCCGUUCCGGAUUUUAAACGCUAUAUAAGCAUCGCGAUAGGUUCGUGUGAUGAAUUAGUUAGUCAUAUCAACGAUGCUGUUAGCAUCGGAUUGGUUAACUCAACCAUAGGUGAGCAACUAGUCGACGAUUAUCGAAUCGUUGGCAAGCAGUUGACACGCCUGAAACAGCAUUGGAAAUAGUCAAUCCGAUUUCUGAAUUCCGUUCUCCGACUUCUAUAGCGGCAGACGAGGUAGUAACACGUAGGUAGAUCCCCAGAAGUCGGGCAUAGCCAGUCGAAAGACUGGGUAAUUCCCGAUAGUCCGAGCACCUUUGUGCGCCUAAAGUAUUGGUAGCAGUAAAUUUUGAGAGAAAAUCUUAAAUAAUCUACUGAACUAAUUUGGACGUAGAAAGGUGCUCGGUAAAGGUUUUUCGCUUCGGGAGUUGCCUGCGUAGUAUCAGCUAGUUGGUAAGGUAAUGGCUUACCAAGGCUACGACGCUUAGGGGGGCUGAGAGGCCGAUCCCCACCGAUGGAACUGCGACACGGUCCAUACUCCUACGGGAGGCUGCAGAC